rnacentral:rRNA from 1 species
UACCAGCACCCCGAGUGGUCGGGACGUUUUAUUGGGCCUAAAGCAUCCGUAGCCGGUUCUGCAAGUCUUCCGUUAAAUCCACCUGCUUAACAGAUGGGCCGCGGAAGAUACUAUAGAGCUAGGAGGCGGGAGAGGCAAGCGGUACUCGAUGGGUAGGGGUAAAAUCCGUUGAUCCAUUGAAGAACCACCAGUGGCGAAGGCGGCUUGCCAGAACGCGCUCGACGGUGAGGGAUGAAAGCUGGGGGAGCAAACCGG